UUGUGUUUAGUUUCACCUACUUUACAACUAUGGAACCAUAGAUUCUGUGACUGUCAAUUUUUUUCCUCAUAAAUCUGGUCAAUUAUUAUUUGCUUCCAAAUUUUGUAUUUUGUCUUGCCUGUACAGGUGAAAUAAUAUAAAGUUGUCUCCAACAACUCAUACACUUACAAUAUUGGUUGUGUCUAUGUCAAUUUAUUUACUUCUGAAUCUUAUUUGCAAGGCAGAUUGCUGGGACAUUCAAUCCAUUUGUUAGUUAUAAUUUAUAUGCAUUCUGUUAAUGCCAUGGUUCUAUGUUUUAGCUUUCAGUUGGAUUCUAGGUAGAUUUAAAUGUGGAACUAAUUUGAUAAAUCUAGAGGGUUAUUGUGUGAACUGAGUUUGUGAAACGGAAGUUUUAGUUAUAAUUUUAUAAUCUAUGUGUUGCAUCAGUGCAUUACUGCAUUAAAAUAAUUAUACAGCCAAAAGAAUGAUUAAGAUUAAAAUAAUUUUAGUAAGUAAUUCUGGUUGAAAUUUGUUUACGUUGUUGAUGCUCCAGAUAUAUUGACAAUUAUUGAAAAAAUCCCAUAUCUGUCAGAGUUUUUGAACUCCUUGUACGAGUGUCAAUAUAAAUCAUUUUUCGUUGCUUUUGGUAAGUUGAGAUCUAUUAUAGCCCAUAAUCUUAUACAUACCAAUAAAAUGUUAAAAGAAAUAAGUUCUUUUGGUUUCUUUGCAUGGUCUGAUUUCUUGCAACACUCUGAGCUCCUUGGUGUUUGCGUAUGUGAUAUGGUAUAGCUAUAAGAGCUAGUCCUACCAAUUCCAAUUAAUUUAUUUAUAACUUGUUCAAUUCUAUAUAUAACUUGUAUAUUCUAUUACAUUUUUCAUUUUCAACUGCCCUUACGGAGCAAAUAAAAUUGGAUCGCUAUUUGCAUCCACACUUUCGUUACUAUAUGAGGGAGGUCAGAACUGUGGGUUAUUCCCAGUUUUUGGAAUCCUGUAAAAGUGUUACAAUUGAAGCAAUGGCUAAGGUAUUUGGAGUUACAGUGGAGUUUAUUGAUUUGGAGCUCUCGCGUUUUAUUGCUGCAGGGAAGCUUCAUUGCAAGAUUGAUAAAGUUGCAGGCGUUCUUGAGAAAGUAAGAAAGGUAUCAACAACGAACAUUUUUUUCAAGGUUUGAUGGAGCGGUUACAUAGUGAGAAAGUAAGGUAUGAUGAUAUUUCUCGCAUCCACGACGAAAUAAUGACUGCAUUUAUAGACUCCAAUCAGCGUCUUCACUCACUUCGUGAAGAGGCUUCCUGUGUCAAAGAGUUGCUUCUCCAAAUUGAGAAUCAGUUGUCCAGUUGUGAGGCUGAGACUAAGGAGCUAGAGACUCGUGUAGGUGAGGUUUCUAGGGAUAUGUUGGAGUCUGAAAAGAGUUUGCAGACUGCAUCUCAGGAAGCAGAAGAGGCAACAAAACUUUGUCAUCAAAGGGAGCAAAAGCGUAAUGCAGCCAAGGCAGCCUUAGAGAUGGCAAGAAUUAAGCUUCGGCAGUGAUUGUAUAUUAACCAUUCUCAAUGUAAAGUACAACAAUGGUGUUUAUAUAUGUAGAUUAUGCUGUAUGAUAGUGUAGAUUGAUGUGUCUCCGUAGUCC